UACGGAGGGUGCAAGCGUUAAUCGGAAUUACUGGGCGUAAAGCGCACGCAGGCGGUUUGUUAAGUUAGAUGUGAAAUCCCCGGGCUCAACCCGGGAACUGCAUCCGAUACUGGCAGGCUCGAAUCCGGGAGAGGGAUGUGGAAUUCCAGGUGUAGCGGUGAAAUGCGUAGAUAUCUGGAGGAACACCGGUGGCGAAGGCGGCAUCCUGGACCGGCAUUGACGCUGAGGCGCGAAAGCCAGGGGAGCAAACGGG
rnacentral:rRNA from 1 species